UGUCAUCACUUCAUUUUUUUGCGCCUGCGCAUAAAUCUGAGAAGCGUGAGUUUUCAUCAUUGUUUAUCUAGACAUAGGAUAGGUUGUGUGAAAAUAUUACUGAUGUUUAACGUUAAAAAUGGACCAAAAGAUUAAUGCUAAACAACAUUUGACAUGUUUGAACGGACGUAAAUAGAUUAUUUACUAGGUUUUUUUAGCUUUUCGGCGUGAUUUUACACUCCCCCCACCACGUUUUGUGGGAGCAUAAUGAACGCUAAGUACUUGGUGUUAUUUGGACAUAAAUUAUGAACUUUGUCAAAAGAAACCACAUUUGUUCCGGACCUGGGAUGCCUUCCGGACCUGGGAUGCCUGCCUUCUGAUGGAGAUAAUCAAAGGCUCUCAGAAGGCGCCAGAACGUUGAAUGAUGACUUUGCAGACCAUGGCUGAAAAACAGUAGCGCAUUUGGCUGAAUGACAGCACCAUGGCAACAACAACAGGACGCCAGUGUGGGUUUCCUGUGUACUGAGAGUGUCUUCUCAGCCAAUCAGUGACUAGCUCUUAUAUGAGUACUGUAAUACCAACAUCAUAAUAUCAGACUUAUCAACAUUAGUAGUGGUCAAUGUAUGUAUAUGUUUACAUGUGUUUAUAUAUAUGUAUGUGGGUAUAUGGUAGUGUGUCCAUACAUUUGCAUAUCAUGUAUAGUCCUAUGUGUGUGGUUAUGGUUUACUCAGCUAGUGCUGCUGCUCUGUGGGGGAGGGGUUAAGGGGGCCUGGGUUUCAGGUCUGAGGAGCAGUGUCAGAGUAGCUGGGUCUGUCAGUAACAGUAUCAGAGUAGCUGGGUCUGUCAGUAACAGUAUCAGAGUAGCUGGGUCUGUCAGUAACAGUAUCAGAGUAGCUGGGUCUGUCAGUAACAGUAUCAGAGUAGUUGGGUCUGUCAGUAACAGUAUCAGAGUAGCUGGGUCUGUCAGUAACAGUAUCAGAGUAGCUGGGUCUGUCAGUAACAGUAUCAGAGUAGCUGGGUCUGUCAGUAACAGUAUCAGAGCAGCUGGGUCUGUCAGUAACAGUAUCAGAGUAGCUGGGGUCUGUCAUUUACAUUUACAUUUUAGUCAUUUAGCAGACGCUCUUAUCCAGAGCGACUUACAGUAGUGAAUGCAUACAUUUCAUCCAUUUCAUUUCAUGCAUUUUUUCUACUACCC
rnacentral:lncRNA from 1 species